rnacentral:rRNA from 1 species
GAUGAACGCUAGCGGCAGGCCUAACACAUGCAAGUCGAGGGGUAGAAGGAGCUUGCUCCUUUGAGACCGGCGCACGGGUGCGUAACGCGUAUGCAAUCUACCUUGUACAGGGGAAUAGCCCAGAGAAAUUUGGAUUAAUGCCCCAUAGUAUAUAACCUUCGCAUGUUGGUUAUAUUAAAGUUCCAACGGUACAAGAUGAGCAUGCGUCCCAUUAGUUAGUUGGUAAGGUAACGGCUUACCAAGACGAUGAUGGGUAGGGGUCCUGAGAGGGAGAUCCCCCACACUGGUACUGAGACACGGACCAGACUCCUACGGGAGGCAGCAGUGAGGAAUAUUGGUCAAUGGUCGCAAGACUGAACCAGCCAUGCCGCGUGCAGGAAGACGGUCCUAUGGAUUGUAAACUGCUUUUAUACAGGAAGAAACCCUCCCACGUGUGGGGGCUUGACGGUACUGGAGGAAUAAGGAUCGGCUAACUCCGUG